rnacentral:rRNA from 1 species
GACGAACGCUGGCGGCGUGCUUAACACAUGCAAGUCGAACGGAAAGGCCCUGCUUGCAGGGUCCUCGAGUGGCGAACGGGCGAGUAACACGUGGGUGAACCGCCCUCCACUUCGGGAUAAGCCUGGGCGACUGGGUCCAAUACCUGAUAGGAGCCACUUUUAGCGUGAUGGUUGGAAAGUUCUUUCGGUGUAGGAUGAGCUCUCGGCCUAAUAGCUUGUUGGCGGGGUAAUGGCCUACCAGGGCGGCGACGGGUAGCCGGCGGGGGAGGAUGGUCGGCCACACUGGAGCGGAGACGCGCUCCAGGGUCCUACGGGAGGCCGCAGUCGCGAAUGGUGGACAAUGGGGGGAAGUCUGAUCCAGCGAUACCGCGUGGGUGAAGAAGGCCCCCGGGGGGGAAAGCCCUCUUGUUGGGAAAGAAAAGCUGUAGGUUAAGACCACGCUGUUUUGACGGUACCCAAAGAAUAAGCACCGGCUAACUUCGUG